rnacentral:rRNA from 1 species
CCUACGGGGGGCAGCAGUGAGGAAUAUUGGUCAAUGGGCGGAAGCCUGAACCAGCCAAGUCGCGUGAGGGAUGAAGGUUCUAUGGAUCGUAAACCUCUUUUAUAAGGGAAUAAAGUGUGGGACGUGUCCUAUUUUGUAUGUACCUUAUGAAUAAGGAUCGGCUAACUCCGUGCCAGCAGCCGCGGUAAGACGGAGGAUCCGAGCGUUAUCCGGAUUUAUUGGGUUUAAAGGGGGCGUAGGCGGCCUUUUAAGUCAGCGGUGAAAGUCUGUGGCUCAACCAUAGAAUUGCCGGUGGAACGGGGGGGCUUGAGUAUGUUUGAGGCAGGCGGAAUGCGUGGUGUAGCGGUGAAAUGCUUAGUUAUCACGCAGAACCCCGAUUGCGAAGGCAGCCUGCCAAGCCAUGACUGACGCUGAUGCACGAAAGCGUGGGGAUCAAACAGGAUUAGAUACCCUGUAGUC